rnacentral:tRNA from 1 species
GCGGGUGUGGCGAAAUUGGCAGACGCGAUAGACUUAGGAUCUAUUGCCUCACGGCAUGCAGGUUCGAACCCUGUCAUCCGCA